UUAGUAUGAAUAGGUGUUUUAUAUUGUGUUGCAUACAUGUCUUUGUAAUCCACCCUUUUGGGUACUUGCUGUGAUGAGUUUAUAAUGCAAUAUGAAUAAAAUUGCUUAUCUGUCAUUACAGAAAAUGUCUAAACAAAACUCCAAAAGCCACAAGGCUAUGGAUGAUAACGAGUGGUUCUCUAGACUGAGGUCUUUUGCCUCCACUGGUGUCUGGCCAUCAGAUGCAGGUAACCGACCUGCCCCAAGGCAACAGAAGUGGUACACUCUGUAUCAGAAGAUAGAGAAGUGCCCACUACUGCUGAGAGGCCAGCGGACACUUUUCUCCCAGCCACAAGGGUGUUUGUGUGGGUUUCAUCUUCCUAAGGUCUGUUCCACAGCAGAGGAAAAGGAUUAGCAGGUGCCUACAGCCUCAUCUAGACCUACAAGCAGUGCAGCUCAAUCAACUAAC